rnacentral:rRNA from 1 species
CCUACGGGAGGCAGCAGUGGGGAAUAUUGCACAAUGGGGGAAACCCUGAUGCAGCGACGCCGCGUGAGUGAAGAAGUAUUUCGGUACGUAAAGCUCUAUCAGCAGGGAAGAAAAUGACGGUACCUGACUAAGAAGCCCCGGCUAACUACGUGCCAGCAGCCGCGGUAAUACGUAGGGGGCAAGCGUUAUCCGGAUUUACUGGGUGUAAAGGGAGCGUAGACGGCAGCGCAAGUCUGGAGUGAAAUCCCAUGGCUUAACCAUGGAACUGCUUUUGAAACUGUGCAGCUAGAGUGCAGGAGAGGUAAGUGGAAUUCCUGGUGUAGCGGUGAAAUGCGUAGAUAUUAGGAGGAACACCAGUGGCGAAGGCGGCUUACUGGACUGUAACUGACGUUGAGGCUCGAAAGCGUGGGGAGCAAACAGGAUUAGAUACCCGUGUAGUC